rnacentral:rRNA from 1 species
AUUGAACGCUGGCGGCAGGCCUAACACAUGCAAGUAGAACGAGUGGCGGACGGGUGAGUAAUGUCUGGGAAACUGCCCGAUGGAGGGGGAUAACUACUGGAAACGGUAGCUAAUACCGCAUACCAUCGGAUGUGCCCAGAUGGGAUUAGCUAGUAGGUGGGGUAACGGCUCACAUAGGCGACGAUCCCUAGCUGGUCUGAGAGGAUGACCAGCCACGUGGGACUUGAGAAACGGUCCAGACUCCUACGGGAGGCGGCAGUGGGGAAUAUUGCACAAUGGGCGCAAGCCUGAUGCAGCAUGCCGCGUGUAUGAAGAAGGCCUUCGGGUUGUAAAGUACUUUCAGCUAGGAGGCGUUACUCGCAGAAGAAGCACCGGCUAACUCCGUGCCAGCAGCCGCGGUAAUAC